AACAGUAGUCUCGGUCAGAAAAUAAAGGCAGACUGAAGCCCUUGGACAUCAAAGUUAUGAAACUGCUACACGAGAAAGUCAACGUCAUCCCUCUGAUCGCGAAAGCUGACUCCCUCACCCCAGAGGAAUUUCAACAGUUCAAGAAACAGGCUGGAGGUAGCAGUGGUGUCUGAGCCUUCCUGCUGUAGUGGGCUGGUAAUCCAGUAUUUUUCUUUUAGUGAAGUGGAGCACCAUUUGGUUGGGGAGGCUAGGCACCCCGGGUGAGGUUCCUACACACUGGGCACUGGGACACGAUUGCUGUGAGGUUUGCUGUGUUGCACUGAAGUGAGUAGUGGUGGCACCUUUAGGCACCCCUCCAUAGUAGUCUGCCCCCCCACUGAUGGCCUCUGCUCACUCUUUUAUGUAGGUUAUGUUGGGCUGAGUUUUAUUUUGAUAUUUUACCACAUCUCUGGUUUUUAGAUUGUAGUUGUUAAGGCCUUUUUUUAGAUGACUUUGUAAUAGAAAUAUUUUUAAUCCCUUUAAUGUUUGUUUAUUGAUUCAGUUUAUUUUGACUAGUUAAUUUUUCCCUCUUCCUUUGCAGUUCCAGCCCUGCCUGUUUAUUUUGAUUAUCAAUAAAUAUUUGAUUUAUUUGGAAAAUACGUUUCUGUCCUGUUUCAGAAACAAAUCUGUGUGCCUUACUGAUCAUCCAAACUUUAAUAUUUUGAGGUAUUUCCUGGGGCGCAAUUCCUCAGAUGGCGUUGUCGGUUCUCCCCCUCACAUUACCUCGUGAACAC